rnacentral:rRNA from 1 species
GAUGAACGCUGGCGGCGUGCCUAAUACAUGCAAGUCGAGCGAACAGACGAGGAGCUUGCUCCUCUGACGUUAGCGGCGGACGGGUGAGUAACACGUGGAUAACCUACCUAUAUUACUGGGAUAACUGCGGGAAACCGGAUCUAAUACCGGAUAAUAUAUUUAACCGCAUGGUUCAAUAGUGAAAGACGGUUUUGCUGUCACUUAUAGGUGGAUCCGCGCCGCAUUAGCUAGUUGGUAAGGUAACGGCUUACCAAGGCAACGUUGCGUAGCCGACCUGGGAGGGUGAUCGGCCACACUGGAACGGAGACACGGUCCAGACUCCUACGGGAGGCAGCAGUCGGGCAUCUUGCGCAAUGGGCGAAAGCCUGACGGAGCAACGCCGCGUGAGUGAUGAAGGUCUUCGGAUCGUAAAACUCUGUUAUUAGGGAAGAACAAAUGUGUAAGUAACUAUGCACGUCUUGACGGUACCUAAUCAGGAAGCCCCGGCUAACUACGUG